rnacentral:rRNA from 1 species
CAGUAGCCGCGGUAACACAGAGGAUGCAAGCGUUAUCCGGAAUGAUUGGGCAUAAAGCGUCUGUAGGUAGCUUCUCAAGUCUGCUGUCAAAUCCCAGGGCUCAACCCUUGACAGGUGGUGGAAACUACCAAGCUGGAGUACGAUAGGGGUAGAGGGAAUUUCUGGUGGAGUGGUGAAAUGCGUUGAGAUCGGAAAGAACACCAACGGCGAAAGAAAUCUAUUAGGCCGACACUGACACUGAGAGACAAAAGCUAGGAGAGCAAAUGGGAUUAGAUACCCCAGUAGUCCCUGUCUCUUAUAA